AUGAUAAGUAGAUUCUGGUGGGCUCAACAACAGAACGAAGCUAAGGUACACUGGCUAGGAUGGGAGAAAUUAACCCGAGCUAAACAAGACAGAGGUCUAGGGUACAAGGACUUACAUCUCUUUAAUCUGUCCAUGCUCGCCAAGCAAGGAUGGCGCUUUCUAACAGAUCCUGACACACUAUGUGCGAGGGUGCUGAAGGCUCGAUAUUUCCCGGAGGUCGAUGUGCUGCAUGCUGAACCAAAGUGGGGAAUAUCUUACACAUGGCGUAGCAUUCUUCGAGGC
rnacentral:rRNA from 1 species